rnacentral:SRP_RNA from 1 species
GCUGGGUGUUGUGGCGGACGCCUGUAAUCCCAGCUAUGUGGGAGGCUGAGGCAAGAGAAUCACUUGAGCCCAGGAGUCUGAGGUUUUUGAAUGAUGACACUUUACCAGGGCAACAAAGUGAUUCUCUGUCUCAA